CUAGCCCUACGGGGGGCAGCAGUGGGGAAUCUUCCGCAAUGGGCGCAAGCCUGACGGAGCAAUGCCGCGUGAACGAAGAAGGUCUUCGGAUUGUAAAGUUCUGUCCUUAUCGAAGAGAGGGUAUAGAGUGAAAAAUGAUAUACUAGGACGGUAGAUGAGGAGGAAGCCCCGGCUAACUACGUGCCAGCAGCCGCGGUAAUACGUAGGGGGCAAGCGUUAUCCGGAUUCACUGGGCGUAAAGGGAGCGCAGGCGGCAUGGCAAGUCUGAUGUGAAAACCCGGGGCCCAACCCCGGGAGUGCAUUGG
rnacentral:rRNA from 1 species